GGGGCUGUAGCUCAGCGGUAGAGCGUCUGCUUUGCAAGCAGAAUGUCGGGAGUUCGAUCCUCCUCAGCUCCA
rnacentral:tRNA from 1 species